GUGGGGAAUUUUGGACAAUGGGCGCAAGCCUGAUCCAGCAAUGCCGCGUGCAGGAAGAAGGCCUUCGGGUUGUAAACUGCUUUUGUACGGAACGAAACGGUCCUGGUUAAUACCUGGGGCUAAUGACGGUACCGUAAGAAUAAGCACCGGCUAACUACGUGCCAGCAGCCGCGGUAAUACGUAGGGUGCGAGCGUUAAUCGGAAUUACUGGGCGUAAAGCGUGCGCAGGCGGUGCUGUAAGACAGGCGUGAAAUCCCCGGGCUCAACCGGGGAAUUGCGCUUGUGACUGCAGUGGUGGAGUACGGCAGAGGGGGAUGGAAUUCCGCGUGUAGCAGUGAAAUGCGUAGAUAUGCGGAGGAACACCGAUGGCGAAGGCAGUCCCCUGGGCCUGUACUGACGCUCAUGCACGAAAGCGUGGGGAGCAAACAGGAUUAGAAACCCGAGUAGUCC
rnacentral:rRNA from 1 species